UAGGGAAUAUUGCACAAUGGGGAAACCCUGAUGCAGCGACGCCGCGUGAAGGAAGAAGUAUCUCGGUAUGUAAACUUCUAUCAGCAGGGAAGACAAUGACGGUACCUGACUAAGAAGCCCCGGCUAACUACGUGCCAGCAGCCGCGGUAAUACGUAGGGGCGAAGCGUUAUCCGGAUUUACUGGGUGUAAAGGGAGCGUAGACGGAUCUGCAAGUCUGGAGUGAAAGCCCGGGGCUCAACCCCGGCAGCUGUUUGGCAAUGACUGUGUUGCUGGAGUGCCGGAGAGGUAAGUGGAAUUCCUAGUGUAGCGGUGAAAUGCGUAGAUAUUAGGAGGAACACCAGUGGCGAAGGCGGCUUACUGGACGGUAACUGACGUUGAGGCUCGAAAGCGUGGGGAGCAAACAGGAUUAGAUACC
rnacentral:rRNA from 1 species